rnacentral:misc_RNA from 1 species
UUUCCGUAGGUGAACCUGCGGAAGGAUCAUUAAAGAGUAAGGGUCUUCGGGCCCGAUCUCCAACCCUUUGUUUAACUACCAUGUUGCUUUGGCGGGCCCGUCUCACGACCGCCGGAAGUUUGGUUUCGACCAAACUUCUGGCCCGUGCCCGUCAGUGGCCCCUUCAAAUUCUUGAUCAAGUAUGAUGUCUUAGUUAAAAACUUAAUAGUUAAAACUUUCAACAACGGAUCUCUUGGUUCUG